rnacentral:lncRNA from 1 species
CAAACUCUCCCUUAAACUCAUUAGCAGAUUGCUCACAUAUGACUUGGCCCUUGGAGUUGACCUCUGGUCCAAUUACCCAGGGGUUAGUUCUUCCAUAGGCUUCUUUAUGAAUAACUGGCUGAGAAAUGUCCAUGUAGUGUCCAACUCCUACAAGAUGUUCUCAGAAACCUAUAAGGAUGACAGUUCACUCCAACCCCAUUCCUUGGAAGGGAAGUGAGUCUCUUCAUGACCAACUGUGGGCGUGAUGAUGUGUGAAGUUCUACGUCUAUGGAUCAGCAGGCACAAAGCAAGUGAAGAUCCAUAAUGGAUUUAGACCAACAUCAAAGGAUCAGUUCAUACAUGAACACACUGCAUCCUAUAGAGAAACCUAAAGCAAUCAAGGGCACAGAACAAUACCUUGAAGGAAGAGUUCAGAAUGCUGUUUUGCCGGGGCGAGUCUUAAGGUGGGAGGAAGGAGGCUUCAUUUCCCUCCUAAUUGUCGCUGCUGCUUUUGAUUUGCUUCCUGCUUCCCCCACCUUUUAAAAUGCUACAUCAUGAGUAUCUUCCU